UACAGAGGGUGCGAGCGUUGUUCGGAAUUAUUGGGCGUAAAGGGCGCGUAGGCGGUGCGGUAAGUCACCUGUGAAAUCUCCUGGCUCAACUGGGAGCUUGCAGGCGAAACUGCCGUGCUGGAGUGUGGGAGAGGUGCGUGGAAUUCCUGGUGUAGCGGUGAAACGCGUAGAUAUCAGGAGGAACACCUGUGUCGAAAGCGGCGCACUGGACCACAACUGACGCUGAGGCGCGAAAGCUAGGGGAGCAAACAGG
rnacentral:rRNA from 1 species